GGUUAAGUGACUAAGCGUACACGGUGGAUGCCUUGGCAGUCAGAGGCGAUGAAAGACGUAGUAACUUGCGAUAAGCCCAGAUUAGGUAGUAACAACCAUUUGAGUCUGGGAUUUCUGAAUGGGGAAACCCACGUGCAUAAGCACGUAUCCUUACCUGAAUACAUAGGGUAAGGAGGCGAACCGGGGAACUGAAACAUCUAAGUACCCCGAGGAAAAGAAAUCAAUCGAGAUUCCGAAAGUAGCGGCGAGCGAAAUUGGACUAGCCCUUAAGCUUUACACGCGUUAGACGAACGGUCUGGAAAGUCCGACGAUACAGGGUGAUAGUCCCGUAGUUGACGACGUGUGUUCAGUGAAAUCGAGUAGGGCGGGACACGUGAUAUCCUGUCUGAAUAUGGGGGACCAUCCUCCAAGGCUAAAUACUACUGACUGACCGAUAGUGAACCAGUACCGUGAGGGAAAGGCGAAAAGAACCCCUGUGAGGGAGUGAAAUAGAACCUGAAACCGUGUACGUACAAGCAGUAGGAGCAGGCUUUGUCCUGUGACUGCGUACCUUUUGUAUAAUGGGUCAGCGACUUAUAUUCAGUGGCAAGGUUAACCAUCUAGGGGAGCCGUAGGGAAACCGAGUCUUAACUGGGCGUUCAGUCUCUGGAUAUAGACCCGAAACCAGGUGAUCUAGCCAUGGGCAGGUUGAAGGUUGAGUAACAUCAACUGGAGGACCGAACCGACUAAUGUUGAAAAAUUAGCGGAUGACUUGUGGCUAGGGGUGAAAGGCCAAUCAAACCUGGAGAUAGCUGGUUCUCCCCGAAAGCUAUUUAGGUAGCGCCUCGGACGAAUACUACUGGGGGUAGAGCACUGUUAAGGCUAGGGGUCAUCCCGACUUACCAACCCUUUGCAAACUCCGAAUACCAGUAAGUACUAUCCGGGAGACACACGGCGGGUGCUAACGUCCGUCGUGGAGAGGGAAACAACCCAGACCGCCAGCUAAGGUCCCAAAUUACUACUAAGUGGGAAACGAUGUGGGAAGGCUCAGACAGCCAGGAUGUUGGCUUAGAAGCAGCCAUCAUUUAAAGAAAGCGUAAUAGCUCACUGGUCGAGUCGGCCUGCGCGGAAGAUGUAACGGGGCUAAGUAGUAAACCGAAGCUGCGGCAAUGUGCUUUUGCACAUUGGGUAGGGGAGCGUUCUGUAAGCGGUUGAAGGUGUGUGGUAACGCAUGCUGGACGUAUCAGAAGUGCGAAUGCUGACAUGAGUAACGAUAAAGGGGUGAAAAACCUCCUCGCCGGAAGACCAAGGGUUCCUGUCCAACGUUAAUCGGGGCAGGGUAAGUCGACCCCUAAGGCGAGGCCGAAAGGCGUAGUCGAUGGGAAACGGGUUAAUAUUCCCGUACUUCUUACAAUUGCGAUGGGGGACGGAGAAGGCUAGGUGGGCCUGGCGACGGUUGUCCAGGUUCAAGUGCGUAGGCUUAAGAGUUAGGUAAAUCCGGCUCUUUCUAAGGCUGAGACACGACGUCGAGCACCUACGGGUGUGAAGUCAUUGAUGCCAUGCUUCCAGGAAAAGCCUCUAAGCUUCAGAUUGUAAGGAAUCGUACCCCAAACCGACACAGGUGGUCGGGUAGAGAAUACCAAGGCGCUUGAGAGAACUCGGGUGAAGGAACUAGGCAAAAUGGUACCGUAACUUCGGGAGAAGGUACGCUCUUGAUGGUGAAGUCCCUUGCGGAUGGAGCUGACGAGAGUCGCAGAUACCAGGUGGCUGCAACUGUUUAUUAAAAACACAGCACUGUGCAAAAUCGUAAGAUGACGUAUACGGUGUGACGCCUGCCCGGUGCCGGAAGGUUAAUUGAUGGGGUUAGACUUCGGUCGAAGCUCUUGAUCGAAGCCCCGGUAAACGGCGGCCGUAACUAUAACGGUCCUAAGGUAGCGAAAUUCCUUGUCGGGUAAGUUCCGACCUGCACGAAUGGCGUAAUGAUGGCCACGCUGUCUCCACCCGAGACUCAGUGAAAUUGAAAUCGCUGUGAAGAUGCAGUGUACCCGCGGCUAGACGGAAAGACCCCGUGAACCUUUACUACAGCUUGGCACUGAACAUUGACCCUACAUGUGUAGGAUAGGUGGGAGGCUUUGAAGCAGGUACGCCAGUAUCUGUGGAGCCGUCCUUGAAAUACCACCCUUGUAGUGUUGAUGUUCUAACGUCGACCCCUAAUCGGGGUUGCGGACAGUGCCUGGUGGGUAGUUUGACUGGGGCGGUCUCCUCCCAAAGAGUAACGGAGGAGCACGAAGGUGGGCUAAUCACGGUUGGACAUCGUGAGGUUAGUGCAAUGGCAUAAGCCCGCUUGACUGCGAGAAUGACAAUUCGAGCAGGUGCGAAAGCAGGUCAUAGUGAUCCGGUGGUUCUGAAUGGAAGGGCCAUCGCUCAACGGAUAAAAGGUACUCCGGGGAUAACAGGCUGAUACCGCCCAAGAGUUCAUAUCGACGGCGGUGUUUGGCACCUCGAUGUCGGCUCAUCACAUCCUGGGGCUGAAGUCGGUCCCAAGGGUAUGGCUGUUCGCCAUUUAAAGUGGUACGCGAGCUGGGUUUAGAACGUCGUGAGACAGUUCGGUCCCUAUCUGCCGUGGGCGUUGGAAGAUUGAAGGGGCUGCUCCUAGUACGAGAGGACCGGAGUGGACGAACCUCUGGUGUUCGGGUUGUGUCGCCAGACGCAUUGCCCGGUAGCUAAGUUCGGAAUCGAUAACCGCUGAAAGCAUCUAAGCGGGAAGCGAGCCCUGAGAUGAGUCUUCCCUGAUACUUUAAGUAUCCUAAAGGGUUGUCGGAGACUACGACGUUGAUAGGUCAGGUGUGUAAGUGCUGUGAGGCAUUGAGCUAACUGAUACUAAUUGCCCGUGAGGCUUAACCAU
rnacentral:rRNA from 1 species